UUUACCGCCUUGGAUGUCUGCUUGACAACAUUUGAAAGCACUAUAAUGAGUAGUGGCUGCCUUUGGAGGCGUGCAGCAUGGUAGGUUACGGCUCGGUGCCGCAGUGCCGGACGUACGCAACGGAGCCCGGUGUCAGCCUCAUUCACACGUAGCCGCAGGAGAAGGAGCUGCGUUAAGCUUGGCUGGCGAAACUUAGAACCGGCAGACAGCCAUCGGCUACAAGUCGGGUGUGCAGCAAGCACAGACGCGACGAAGAUUUCUGCUACGGCGCCGGGCUGCGCGAUGUUCGAUUCUUCGGUCGUCCAAGGCCCCACGCCGUUACUGCGACGGUUGUGCCUCUCUGAGCAACGAAGAGGUCUGCUGAUCCCGGAUCCGCAGAAGUCGCUCUUCCGUCCGUAGUUUCUUUCGAUCUUGCGAACCUCGUGUCUCCCGGAGCCACCUACACAGGUCCGCCGAUCCCAGAUCGUGAGGACUGCCUUCUUGAUCCCACCGCUGCCAACCAGCUUGUUGCGGCUAGGGUGGUUCUCAGGGCAUGGAAUCAACCAAGCCCAUCGACUACGACGUCAAGUUGUAGAAAAUGAAGGAAAAAUGUGUUUAUUAGCUUAGUUACACGGCUCCAGUACGGAAGCCCACUCCAUGCAGGAGCAAGAUGAAUGUCUCAGUUCACAUCAGGACCCUCUGUCCUCACUUUCAAAAAGUCUCUGCUUUUAUUCGUGUCGUCUUCCCUAGGCGAGUCGACUAGGGAAUCUGAAGACUGUCCAGCAGCAAACCACCAUCGUGGACUCAGUUGCGAUACCACACCCAUGCUCGCAAUAACCCGCAGUAACUCCGCCACGAAGAAACUGGUUUGGGAUCUGUGGAAAGAAAUGAACCGGCAACACCACAACAUCCAUCCAUGAAUGCAUGGAUGUUAUGAGCGUUCCCUUUGGAACAGGGCGGUGGAUUGCACCACCAAGCUUUUAUUUUAUUGCCUAAUGUCCUACCUAUUUUAAAAAAAGGAAAAAAAACACGAUGAAUUCCCAUAACCAAAGUUUCUGAACCUCUAUUGUGAACGUUCUUUUUGUACGCCUCCGUUGUUUGUCAGUUCCCUAUUUUCUUCCACCAAUCUUCCAAUCGCCUAACCCAAGGGCUUCAAGGAGGCCAGUGAUUCAUAAAUUGACCGUUGGUAAGAUACCUUCACAUUCUAAUAAAACAUGCUCCAUCGUUUCCCUAGCUUUACCGCGACAAGCACAUGCUUCUUCUUCCUUCUUAUAUCUCGCUUUAUAAGUGCGUGUUCUAAGGCAUCCUGACCUCGCUUUGAAAAUGCCGCCGUGAAUGUGAGCGCCAUCUGGUAGUGGUGCAACGAACCCAGCAGCGCGCAUGCUCUGCUGUGACUGGUUGGCCUAUUCGGCAAGAGAACAGCCAGGUUGCAGCCCCCAUGGUCACAAAACCCGGCGAGGCUCGCAAAGAAAAGCUUCGCUGUUAAAACUCGGUAUACCCAACACAGUAUGUGAAAGAAAGGGCCAUUCUCGAGCCUAGCACACACCCUCAAGGUAGUUGGGGCUUUAUGAUUUCAACAGCAGUACACCUAUUAUUCUCAGAACUCUCUUUUUGGCAAGCUCAUGCCAUGCCCUGGUGAUAUAAUGGCAGACACAGCUGCUCACAUGUGUCAAAUGCUGUAGGCAAUUCUGCCUUCAUGUUUGGGUUCAUGAUCUGAGCGCAGUACAUAUCAGAAUGACUUGCUGGUGUAGUGCAAGUCCUGAGGAUUGGUUUAUUGCACGGUGUGGCUCCACUUUUCUUCAACAGCAACAUAGUACCCUAGGAAGCAAUUAGUCACUUCACAGCACUUUCCCUCAUCUACAAUGCCAUGUAUGUAGUCGAUGUUUGUGCAACGAUUGUCGCAGAUACGUCAUUUGAUCAACUUUUCAGCGCCUGCAGGCAUGCAAGAUGGUAGACAUCAUGAGAGUGGACUGAGCUUCUUGUUUUUUAAUUAUCAAAAGUAGUUCAUUUUAAUUUUUCUUUUGGAAGACAAACUUGAUUAUCAGGUUAUGCGAGGACUUCCCCAACAAGUCUUCAGCCUCAUUUUUUCCAUGAUUGUCAUUACGGCAAAGUCAUGUGAUCACAAUGGUUAGGCCCGAAAUUCUGAGAUUUUAAAAAUAAAUUUGAAUUGCCCUUUUUUUUGCUGGUGAAUGUUUUUCAGACUUGAUUGAAUUAAUCCACAAAUUCAGAUCCCUGGUUAUAAGCCACUCGUACUGCAGAUUGUAUUUAUUAACUAUCCACAGCAUUAGUGGGUGCAGACUGCCAAAGCUAAUUUUAUAGAACUCCUGCUGCAAACUUUCCUAGCCUUCUGGAUUUUAGCCUGGUAGUGGUAGUGCGAUAUGCAAAAUACCUUUCAUGGUUUUGCACUACAUACAGUCGCCGACCGUUUAUUCGGACCUCACGGGGACUGCGGAAAUGUCCGAAUAAACAGGUGUCCGAAAAAGCAGAUUAAGAAGAAAAAAAAAAAUGAAAUCCUUUAUUUCCACGCACUUAUUCGGGCUCGGCAGUAGGCUUAAGGAAAUCGUGAAUGCGCCGUUGCACGCUGUUUCGUUUACGCGCAAUCAGAUAAGCUUCAGAUGCUUGUACACGAUCCGCAUGCGACGGCAGCGUAGCACAUGGUGCGUCAACUUCCGACUCGGUCAUCGUCCGGCGGGGCAGCAGAAACCUGACGAAUGAUCUCGCCGUCGUCGAGUUCUGCGCAUGUCAGUACAGCAGUGUCACCACCUGUGAAACUGUCAAUGAGACCGUGUCCGGAAUCGCAAUGCAACCACUGCGCAAGUCUCGGCAGAACAUUUUCCGCGUCGGUAGGGAGCACAUCGGAAGGCGGCAAAUCUUAGAGGCCUCCCGGCACCCGCUUGCCGGCAUUCCGCAGCGCAGUCUGCGCGGGCACUGUCGACGCGAUGUUUCCGUAUGCCGCGUUGGAUCGCCGAAACCUCGACACAGCACACAAAGCAAACACCGCCGUGCCGACACCAGUCACAGAAAUGAAAAAACGCGGCCUGCUCGCAGCGUCGUGCGCGAAGAAACAAAUUAGCUGCUGGAUUGUCUUGACAUGGCUCACUAAGCUGAAACCGGAACUGCUGCAGAGCCACUCUAUCGAACCAGGCAGAAACGAUGAUGAUGAGCGGGGAUUUCCAGUAGCGCCACUUCGUGGGGCAGCAAAGAAGCUCCGUUCAAAACAAAAAUGGCGUUCAGCAAGUCGAACCGUGCACCGGUCAGAGUCGGUGCACGGUGCUCUCGACCGAGUUGGCUCAAGGAGAGUCCGAAAAAUCAGACGAGAGGUUGCAAGGUGUCCGAACUUUCGGCAGUUGUUAUACAUUAUGGUCUAUGGGGAGAAUGGCGGUGCCGCGAAAGCUGACCGAAUAAUCGGGCAUGUCCGAAUUUUUGGAGUCCGGAAAAUCGGUCGGCGACUGUACACUGUCUUCUUCGGCUCACAGCUGGUUGCUGGCUGACUCCAUUUCUGUUACAUCUUAAAGCUACCUGGGUUUCAUGGAAGAAUCAAUGUGAUGGCAGUGUUCUGCUAUUACGCAUUGUCUCCAGGCAAAGCCUUUCAUGAUGAGUAAACAUGUGACAGAAGAAAAGAGCACACAGUCAAGCGUAAUACAAUAUGCUCUUCAUUGCACAGAUGAGAUUGGCCCUCCAAGAGAUAUGCCAGUGAAAUAAGAUAUGCUGGCAGACUUGCAAAACCCUGGGGAAAUAAACUGAAUACACGCUGCCCUUAUUAACCGACCACUGUGUCACAUGCUAAUGUUAUAGUGAGCGGCUAUCUCCUGGUCAGACAUGGUCAAAAAAGAUUUCAGCCUGUUCAUGUAAAAAGCUUCUUGGUAUGUUCAAACAAUGCAAUAGUUUAUAUAUAUAUAUAUAUAUAUAUAUAUAUAUA